rnacentral:tRNA from 1 species
GGGCAUGUCGUUUUUAUGAGACGGAGUAUUUUGCAAAGGUACUUUAGAUUUGUUUUUAUCCGUGUCCU